AAAGCAUCUAUAGAAAACAGUUUCUAUAGCAAAGGAUUAGUGUCCAACGGAUUAACUUGUCAUGGUCAGAGUGAUUUCCAUCACGACAAACAUAUAUAUUUAACAAUAGAAUUAAUUAAACACAAAGAAAUAUAAAAGGUUAGAUAGACGGAUUAACAAAUUGUCACUUUAGCACUUAAAAUAUAAUGUCUGAUCUUAAUUUAUUUGUAAUCGCAAAUAGUCCAAAUCUUCCUGGUUAUA
rnacentral:lncRNA from 1 species